UACGUAGGUGGCAAGCGUUGUCCGGAUUUACUGGGUGUAAAGGGCGUGUAGGCGGGCAGAUAAGUCAGGUGUGAAAGUCCACGGCUUAACCGUGGGAUUGCAUUUGAAACUAUUUGUCUUGAGUGCUGGAGAGGAAAGCGGAAUUCCUAGUGUAGCGGUGAAAUGCGUAGAUAUUAGGAGGAACACCAGUGGCGAAGGCGGCUUUCUGGACAGUAACUGACGCUGAGGCGCGAAAGCGUGGGGAGCAAAC
rnacentral:rRNA from 1 species